rnacentral:rRNA from 1 species
UACAGAGGUCCCGAGCGUUGUUCGGAUUCACUGGGCGUAAAGGGUGCGUAGGUGGUGAGGUAAGUCGGAUGUGAAAUCUCCGAGCUUAACUCGGAAAUGGCAUUGGAAACUACCUUGCUUGAGGGUUGGAGGGGGGACUGGAAUACUUGGUGUAGCAGUGAAAUGCGUAGAUAUCAAGUGGAACACCAGUGGCGAAGGCGAGUCCCUGGACAACUCCUGACACUGAGGCACGAAAGCUAGGGGAGCAAACAGG